UGGAAGGCUGUACGCUGGCAAACCGUUACGCUUUUCUUUACAGACAUUGCAAAUGGAUUCACACCCUGCCAACCUAUUCAGGCCGUUACCCAGGUGAGGAAGCUUAUUUUGGCUUGCUUCAAAGGGGCCACCUGUACAGAUACAAAAGAAAACGUCUCUCUCUUCUCCCAGUAAAUGCGCCCAAAGUACUUCUCCGCCUAAACUCUCCCUUUCAUUAAUCCAGCUCACAGUUGGAUAAGUAGGGCACAGCAAUUUAGACAUUCUUGUCUGGGAAAUUCUGACCUUAACACCCACAGUCGCUGCACACGCAGUCUCGAGGCUGUCUACGGUCUUGUACCUCUACUUCUGAAGAAUGGCACCUGCUUGUUUGCUGUGCCGCCACGCGGCCUGCUAUAAUCCUACAGCUGCUUAGCACCCAAGUCUCAGCCUACCCAUGAUUCCAGGAAAGCAAGCCCUCCUGAGCUCCCAUGUUCUCUAGUUCCCGCAUCCUCUCUCAAUUCCCUUUUUCCAAGUGGAAUUGCAUAGGUUUCACUAGUGGUGAAGGUUAAACUCACCCGGUGCUAGCUCAGUGCCACAGGCCGCUUGCUCUGCCAGCACGUGCAACACGUGAAGCACAAUCAGAGAAGCCAAAAGGACUUGACAAUGCCUCCAGCUACCAAGAAUGACUCACAGAAAUAUUCCAGGAAUUUUCCUUUGCAAAAAUAAUCAAGAAAAACAAGAUCAACAAGAUCUUUACUCAGUAAUGGUAAACUAUGUGCAGGUUAAUACGUACAUGAAUCAGAAAUCACGAGGAGAAAUGAAAAGUCUGAAAGAACAGCAGUACUGCUGGUUCAGUGACCAGCACGCUAUCUUGAAUUCUGUAUUACAUUCACCUACGUAAGAAUGUCUUACAGCACCACGUGAAAUUAUUUCAUACAGACUACUACAAAACGAGAAGGAAAGCAGAACAUUUGGGAGACUGCAAAGUCUCGUUACUGAACCCUGCCAAUCUUCAAUACUGAGUAAGACCAUCACUUGGUUGAACAGUGGCAUAGUGCAGAGCCAGGUGCAGGAUUAGGGGGAACAGAUGGUGGCUAAUCUUCCUAAUACAGCUCUGCCAGUACAACUCACUAACUCACUCUUGACCAGUCACAUUCCCGUUUUUCUUUUUUUUUUUUUUUUAAUGAUUUUUUUUUUCCUGGUCCUUCGUUUUCUCUGGCCUGAGCACAGGUUGCCAAGGGAUAGCUGCAUGGAAGGCUAAGGAUUCACAUAGGGCUGCUGCUUUGAUUUUGCUUCUGGUCCAAGACAUUUUUUGUUUGUAUUUCAGUUUGGUCACCAAAAUGAAUUAACUCACUGGCUCACUCAGCACACACACACACCUAAUCCCAUGAGGGCUAAGCAUAUUAAAACAAAGUAAUGUUAUCUAUUAAUAAGUAUUAGCACACCAGCCAUAAGCUAUACGACAACACAAAUACAGAGCAAGGUUCCAAGUGUCCUUUCGUCAAGCAGCACAGUGAAGAGCAGCAGGUUAAAAAGCUUCUACUCCCUUGUACUCAAAGAAGCACUGGAUCUGCCAGGAGCUGCAGAAGGAAGGCAUCAGGAGCACCCACAGCACAUGAAGGCUCAGUCCCACCCCAUCCUGCACUGGAAGAACUGUGUGUGAAACUGCAAAGUACCACAGAAUGUCCAACCUUCCGGCUCCUCCUCUCUCAUACAAAGUGGCACCAAGCCGCUUCCAGCACAGCACUGACUGCACCUAGCAUGGAGUCAGCUGUCCUGUCAACGGGCAUCUCUUUCUGGUUUUGCUUGCAUUUUAGUUAAGCAAAGAGCCUAUCAUUAGUAACACAAGUCAGCAUCACCAUAUGAGAAACUGGUGUGAGGAGGAAGAGAACAAGCAGAAGCAGAUGGGAAAGCACCAGUAUUUAAGCUACGCCUCAACUACUGCUUCUGUAGAACUUUACUUCAUAAAGAACUGUGCUUCUGCACCUACUGACUUCACCUUCAACAACAUCACUGUUUUGCUGAAGAAGACUGCAGAACUUUGGAUUAAGUUAACAGGAAGCAUUUGACUGCAGUUACAGUGAAGUAACAACAGAACCAACUGUCAUUAUCUUAAUGUCAGUGAGAAAGGCAGAAAGCCCCAUAUUCAACUAUUCAAUCUCCACGGGACAUGGCUUAAUGGUUGCAGAAGGCAUGAAAAAGGGAAAAAAAAAAAGAUAUAUCCAGAUAUUCAGUUCAAGGGACCCUUGCAGAAGUACAGACUGACACUUACAGGAAGCUGGUUUUCGGCUGGAGGUUAAGACGCAGAACCUCACAAAGCACUAACUAAACCCAGGGAGAACUUCUCUCUGGCCAGAGUCGUGGACUCUUCUCUUACCUUCAGGACAGAUUCCUUAAAUGCUAAGGAAAAUACUGCAAACCUAAAAUUACAGAUUUUCUUAACAACAUGCUCACUUUACUGAGGAUGAAAAUGAGAACAUCUUCACUGUCUUCCAUAGCUUCGCUUUGUUAUAGUCGUCUUCCUGUUGAAGACUGAAUGAAUAUUUUUGUGCGUGCCUGGUAUCGGGGACAGUAUAUUUUAAAUCUGGAGAUGUAAACAAAAAAUUAACAUGGAGAUAAAGGCACAUCAGGCUGAGAUGGUAUUUAGCCUGCUCUCUUCUCUCCAUGGCUCUGUCCUGUAAUUUGGAAGCACUGGAAGCUCUUCACCUGGUUGCUUAACGUUGAUUUUACUUCACCACUUGAAUCUUUUUUACCUUUCGUCUAGAUAAUUGGUAUGCAUCUAGUCAACUAAGCAGAGUCUGAAAAGAACUGAUGAAACAUGCUGUCACCGCACCUUCACCACAUCUGGCCAGCCAGAGGCCUGAGCUCAUUGAACAAGAUCACUCCACCUUGAGAUGAUCUCCAGAGGUCCCCCUCCAGCCUCCACAGUCCAAUGAAUCUUCAGCCCAAGCUUGCUUGCUGUGUUUCUGUGCGGCUCGAUGCUCACGUGCAGGUAGUCAGAAAUCAACCGAGUUACUGGCCAUCCAGGGUCAGCACAGCCUGGCCCCUGGCAGCUGCCAGAAAUGGGCUCUGAACACCACGAACAGGGAGAGGAAAAAUUCUUCCCUUGGCAUAUCCUCCUGACAUUCAGGGAUUUUGUGACUGAUUUUUAAUGAUUUCUGAAUCUGAAAUGUCUACUAUGGCCACAAGAUUUGGCCAAGGGUGCUGUGGGAGCAGGCAGGAGAGCCAGGCUCUGCGUCCUCUCCAUGCACACACACAUCGCCUGCAGCAUGGAGAGGUCCUCUCCCACCUCCAGCAGGACACUGCCAGGCUGGUGCUGCUGUGCCAGUAGGAAUGCUGUCAGCACAGUUCACAUGCCCUGUGCCUUACCAUUCACAUACUGAUAAGCUCAGUUCUAUGAGGAUAGCAGUGCCUCUGGAUGCAGACUCAAUAACUUUUCCGGCAAAAAUGCAGGCAUCUGGCACAUGCACACUCACACUUUGUAGCUGUAGAUGACACACGUGGACCAAGCAUCACCGGAUUUGGGCCCUACACGAAUAUCUGGUCAAAACAACAACAUUUUUUAGAAUAGUUUAGGGAUCAUCUGUGACUUCUGAAAUUCAGAAAUGCGGUCAGAAGUAAGAUUUUCACAUCUUUGAAACUCCUGAAGCUUAUUAAGAUAAACAAAAAGACCCCGCAAAAGCUGAGUUCCUUGAAUCCAAAACCAAAGAGAGAGUGCUCUAGAUACAAAAAAAACCAAAAAACACAUUCCAAUGAGAUCAUGACAAGUUCUAACAAAACUGAAAUGUCAGAAAUAUUAAAAUGCAGAUAAUAGGAGGAAAAAAGCUGCAAAAAUAUGCAAGACAUACAGACGAAGAACUCUAAGUCAUAAAUCACUGCGCACAGGGGCUACUGCCACAGUUUGUGAAAGUGUAGUGCCUGAAAUAAUACAUGGCCCUUGACUUAGUGUAUGAGCAGUAACUAACACCUAACAGCAAACUGCAUCUCGCAGCGCUGAUCGGUUCCUGCCGGUUGCGGAGAACACAGCUGCGCCGGGAGGAGGCAGACAGGCAGGAAGGCAGGAGAGGCAGACCCAAAAGCCACAGCAGUUGCUCCAGCACCUGCGCACACCCAGCAGAGCAGGGGACAACAGCUUCCAGCCUGUCAGCGCUGCUACUUAAGUCCAGGCCCAAGAGCUGCGUUGGGAGGGCUAUCGUCAUCUCAGCAUAAGCAACAGCUGGGUUUUCUCUCUACACUGACAGAAGAGUCUCAGAGGCUACUGUCUGUCUUCCCACCCAGCAAUCCUUUCAACCCUCAGAGCAGAGGCCCCCCCUCCAGAUAUCCUGAGAUCUGGUUUCAACGGAUUGAAACAAAAACCACCGCUCUCCUCCUGAGUAGUUUCUUCCAUGCUUCCUUUUCUAUGCCCUGCCCGUGCUUAGGAAGGCUCACAGCGACGGAAUGACAACAAAGAAGCAGGGGCGGAGGGCAGGCUGUGCCCAGCACCAGCUGCGCAGCUGGCUGCGGCGCCCUGCCUGUGCAUGGCGGACGGGGGAACACGGAACGCAGCAGAAGGGAAUUCAUACGCUUCCUGCUCUCACUGAAUGGCAGCGCUCUCAUCCUUGGAUGGCAGGAGAUGAAGUACCGUAAACGAAAACCAAGACCCUACACAACACAAGCAAACCUUUGCUCCAAAUUUUGAUUUUAUGAAAUACCCUAUCAAACACACUGUAACUAAAUAUUAUCUGUUAAUGUACGACUAAUCCCUACUGACGUUGCCUGUGGUAUCUCUUCACUAUACCUUUAGGUUACUCUGUUUUGGGGAACAACUGGUACCGGAGGAUAUUAGAGAAUUCACGUCACUUCUCCAACACGGGCAAAACACCCCUGCUGAGAACUUCCAAGUUCAAUAGGAAAGGCUUGCUAUAUGUAAAAAUAAAUACACGGUACUACAGAAAAGCCAUUUUAUAUUGUAUUAUUAGCUACUUCUACUACAUUUGUAACUACGCAGACCUUACUCUCCAUAAACAGUCAUUACUCUUCACCAUAGUGUCAUUGCAGAUCUUAAUGGAUUCUGAUUUUGGCACCGGUUCUGUUGUUGCAAUAGAUAGAAGUAUUACUUUAGCAGUGAUCAAAAUGCCUGCUGAUAGCACAGGCAAAAGCUAUAUACAUACAAUCAUAUGUCAUCUACAAUAAUUAACUGUGUAUUUAGCACAGACAGCACUAAAAUGUAAUUGAUAUACACCGUACUACAGAGGUACGGUGCUUCCAAUUCUCCUAACUAUUGUUAAAUAAAAGUUAGAAAACUGGGAAGCACAAAGGACAACAUCAAUGUGUUCCAACAUUGCAAAAGGGCAAAUAUUAACAUGAUGAGAUAAUGAAGUGACAGAUACAGGUUUUAGUCAAUGACUUUAAUACAGACACAGAACUCCUAAGAAGGAACACAAUUUCACAGAAUAUAUCUUUUUUUUUUUUUUUGUAAGAUUACAAGAUUGUGGAUAAGAGUAACUGUGCUAUCUCUAAGAGUUUCCUGGAGAGCUUUCACUCAACGCUAUCUGUCUCUGAGGAAAAGAGCCUUAUUUACAUGAAUACUGCAUAUACUAAAUCAACUACAAACAGGUUAAAGAUCUCUAAACAUAGCUACAACACAGCCUCAUCACAGAUUUUUUUUUCUAGUCCAGCACCACUGAUGUUCAUCAAUACUCUCCCAGAACAACAUAAGGAAGAGGAUAACUAGUGUAGUUCGCCACUACUGACCAUUUCACCAUCUUCUGAGUCAUUCACAACGACCAGAAAAAGCCAAAUA